CACCGCGGUUAUACGAGAGGCCCGAGUUGAUGGUCACCGGCGUAAAGAGUGAUUAUAGCAUGUUAAAAUAACUAAAGCCAAAGCCCUUCCCGGCUGUCAUACGCACCCGAAGGCAUGAGGCCCCUACACGAAAGUAGCUUUAACCACAAGACCCCUAGAACUCACGACAGCCAAGACA
rnacentral:rRNA from 1 species